GCGGGCGUGGCGGAAUGGUAGACGCCGGGGACUUAAAAUCCCCUGUCCUUUGUGACGUGCGGGUUCGAGUCCCGCCGCCCGCACCA
rnacentral:tRNA from 1 species